UGGUCUGUAGCUUAACAGUCAGAGCGUCGGGCUCAUAACCCGGAAGAUGCUGGUGCAAAUCCAGCCGGACCGACCA
rnacentral:tRNA from 1 species